rnacentral:tRNA from 5 species
GAGGACUUAGCUUAAUUAAAGUGGUUGAUUUGCGUUCAAUUGAUGUAAGGUGUAGUCUUGCAGUCCUUA